GUGCUUGCUUCGGCAGCACAUGUACUAAAAUGGGAACGACACAGAUUAGCAUGGCCCCUGCGCAAGGACGACGUGCAAAUUCGUGACGCAUUCCAUAUCUAA
rnacentral:snRNA from 1 species